GAUGAAGAACGCAGCGAAAUGCGAUAAGUAAUGUGAAUUGCAGAAUUCAGUGAAUCAUCGAAUCUUUGAACGCACCUUGCGCCCUUUGGUAUUCUGAGGAGCAUGCCUGUUUGAGUGUCAUUAAAUUCUCAACUACACUGACUUUGAAUUGGUGUGGCUUGGAUUUGGGGGGAAAAUUGUUGUGGGCUUUUUGUAUAGUCUGCUCCCCUGAAAUUGAUUAGCGGUACCUUUGUGGAACUGUCUACAGGUGUGAUAAUUAUCUACAUCUUAGACAUCUGCUGGAAUGCUGCUUUCUAAACCUUACUUGUAUUGACAAUCUUGACCUCAAAUCAGGUAGGACUACCCGCUGAACUUAAGCAUAUCAAUAAGCGGAGGA
rnacentral:misc_RNA from 1 species